AGUGAACGCUGGCGGUAGGCCUAACACAUGCAAGUCGAACGGCAGCACAGUAAGAGCUUGCUCUUACGGGUGGCGAGUGGCGGACGGGUGAGGAAUACAUCGGAAUCUACUUUUUCGUGGGGGAUAACGUAGGGAAACUUACGCUAAUACCGCAUACGACCUACGGGUGAAAGCAGGGGAUCUUCGGACCUUGCGCGAUUGAAUGAGCCGAUGUCGGAUUAGCUAGUUGGCGGGGUAAAGGCCCACCAAGGCGACGAUCCGUAGCUGGUCUGAGAGGAUGAUCAGCCACACUGGAACUGAGACACGGUCCAGACUCCUACGGGAGGCAGCAGUGGGGAAUAUUGGACAAUGGGCGCAAGCCUGAUCCAGCCAUACCGCGUGAGUGAAGAAGGCCUUCGGGUUGUAAAGCCCUUUUGUUGGGAAAGAAAAGCAGCAGGUUAAUACCCCGCUGUUCUGACGGUACCCAAAGAAUAAGCACCGGCUAAAUUCGUG
rnacentral:rRNA from 1 species